GGUGGAACAGAAAUGGUGCAACAUAAAUCCGAACACAUUUUCAUACAUACAUACAUAUGUAUGUACAUAUUCAAAAAUGUUGGCAACAGCGUGCCGCAUGUAGCAUGCGCCGGUUUGCUUUGUCAUUAUUCGGCCACAAACUUUUAUUCUAUUAGCCUUCAUUAAACAACGACAGCGACAGCGUAGACGCCGGGCAUCAGGCGUGCUAUAGGAAGCGAAUUUUAACAGGCGAUAGCAAAAGUGGUGGCUAUCGACUGACAACGUGGCAUGUGGCAACCAUUUAUAUUUUUAAUGUGCAUUCAUUAAUUUAUUAUCGUAAUCCGCAAUCAUGGCAACUUCAAAAAGCCAUCAACAACCAGCUGUAGCCAACAAGCGCUACAACAACAACAACAAUAAUAAUAAUAACAACAAUCGUGUAUAUUAACAAGUAUUGUGUCGAAUAGCUGUUGUUUAUCGAAGCGUGGUGCCGCAAACAUUUUUGGAAUCCCGAAAGCGCGGGACUGUAUCAACUCUACUGGAUCUAAAGAUGAACUCAAAUCGAAAAGCAUUAUUCAUGGUUCUUCCAACAGCAAUCGACUUCAACAUGCAAUGAGAACGCGCCAGUAUGUUGUUCAGAAACUGGAAAUGAACAACUUGGAAGGCCAAAUGGCGGGGAUGAAAAGUAUAUGAAAAGACGACGAGGAAACCGACGAUUUAUUACAGUGCAGAUGAAGGUGGCGUCGAAAUGAGUUUCCCUACGUAUCGGAAAGUGUUUCCGAAUAGAAAAUGAGGGUAUAGAGGAAAUGGACAAAUUUUUCUUUUUGGGAGAUUGUCGCAUCUCGUUGUUAUAAAUUUGACAACUCUGUCAGGAUCGAAUAAGUAGUGCUACAGUUUUCUUGCUGACACUGAUGGGCAAUGAAGACGCAAUGACUUUGUCGUGAGAGAGUACGCAGGAAGAAAUCGGCAACACUGGAAUAGUGUCAUAAUGAGAAUGAAAAGAGAAGCAGUGAGAGAGGGAGAUUAGUACAAAUGUCAACGUAACUUAGAGUUCUAAAUUCAACAGACUUUCAAGUCAAGUCAUGCGUUCGGUAAUCAAAUACAUGCAAGGCCCAUUAAACGGAUCUUUUAUGUGACAGUUCUCAAGUCUCUCUAGGUCAAGUCAAGCAUCGGUAACUGGAGCUUUAUUCAACAUUACGAUAUUCCCAAUGAAUCUCUAAAGAGCCCAAAAACUAAAUUGUAAACUUUGAACUACCGGAAGUAAACGGAAAACGAUGCUUUGAUGGUGAAAUCAUUUUAAUUGCAAAAAUUUUCAAAAACACGUAAAACCAUAUAUUAAACAACAACAACGACAUUAUACCGAUUUGAGAACGAAAAUUUGAGAAAUAAGUAAGCUGGGAAACAACAAAGUUUUAUGCAAAAGCAGCCAAAAUAACUGUGUGGAAAUUAUCGUACAUUGAAACUUUUGUAGAGGAAUGCACUAUUUUCCCGCGCAGGAAUCUGAAGGUGUAUGUUACAUAUAAGUACUUGUAGACCAAAGAUAAACUUUUGAUGAACUGUGAAAAGCAACUAAGACAUUGCAAAUGUUCGCCACGGGAACACCUCAAACUCUUUUCGGCUACAAUCAAACAAAAAACGGUUUUAUGUUCAGCUUCAGAUCAGUCAUUAAAUCACAUUGAACGCCGAGAAACUUUAAUCUCCAUAAUAACAGUAUAUAUUGGUCACUAAUUUUACUAAAAAGAUUUUUAGAAGUGUUAAUAAUAUGCAUAUAUAAAUCAUAAUUCAAUGUUAUAAUACGUUUUCAAAAUAUUUUAUAAACCGUGAGCAUGACAGUAUAAUCAUUUUUGAUAAUUAUUAUUUCACUAGUCUGUAAAUACGUAAAUAAAUCGGCUAUAAUUCUCUGUGUCCAGGAACCCAUUGCAGAUUUAUCGUGUAUUAAGAAGCCAGUACCGUUAAUAGUUCAUGGCUCUUUUUCUAUCUUAUAGGAAAUACUUAGGAUCUUAAGUGAUUCCAAAGCCACCUGUAUGUCUGUAAAAAUAUAUAUGUUUAUUGU